rnacentral:rRNA from 1 species
CCCUUAGAUGUUCUGGGCUGCACGCGUGCUACAAUGGCGUUUCCAGCAAGUCUGCGAACCCGAGAGGGCCAGCGGAUCUUCGAAUUGGCGUCGUGAUCGGGACAGUCGAUUGCAAUUAUUUGACUCAAACGAGGAAUUCCUUGUAAUCGCGAUUCAUCAUAUCGCGCUGAAUACGUCCCUGCCCUUUGUACACACCGCCCGUCGCUCCUACCGAUUGAGUGAUCCGGUAAAUGUUUUGGAUUGGUGCCGGGGCGGCUAGCUGCCGGUCGCUACGAAAUUUUGUGAACCUUAUCGCUUAGAGGAAGGAAAAGUCGUAACA